UCCCGACGUCGGCUUCGUGCUCCAGAGCGUCUGGGGCUGCCGAGGCCGGACCGAGGCAUGUGAUUCUACAAGAGAGAAAGUCUCCUGCAGAAGAGAAAGCUUUCCAUGAUUCACCUUUCGUGCGCCUCGAAGCCCUAAUGAAGUUGGAGUCUCUAAUAUCUGACUUGAUGGAAUAAUUGGUCCGUGGGCAAUGGCAAGGAAGAUGCUGCACAGGAAGCAAGACAGGACCCCAGCACCACCGUGACAUUCCUCAGCAGCGCCAUCAUCUGGAUGGGCAUCUAAUGCUAUUGACUAGAGACUUUGUUGCCACCGUGGGCAUGAAUGCUGGGGGUGAUGCUCACAAUUUUCCAAAGACAAACGCAAGGACCCAAAAGAUGAUGCAAUCACCUCCAAGCUGAGAGACACAAAGCCACCAACCCGAAGCGGGUCACCCAGGCUCACCCUCAUAUCCAGCGCUCUCUCUCUCUCUCUCUUU